rnacentral:rRNA from 1 species
UACGGAGGAUGCAAGCGUUAUCCGGAAUGAUUGGGCGUAAAGCGUCCGCAGGUGGCUGUGUAAGUCUGCUGUCAAAGAGCGAAGCUCAACUUCGUAAAGGCAGUGGAAACUACACGGCUAGAGUGCGUUCGGGGCAGAGGGAAUUCCUGGUGUAGCGGUGAAAUGCGUAGAUAUCUGCAGGAACACCCGUGGCGAAAGCGGCGCGCUGGACCACUACUGACGCUGAGGAACGAAAGCUAGGGGAGCAAACAGG